GGCUUCCUUGUCGCGCAAGGUGCCGCUGGCGACAGCGGAGAAUUGGGAAGCCGGUGCAAGGCCGGCGCUGCCCCCGCAACGGUAAGGGGAGAGGGUGCGGCAUGGGCCACUGGGGGGAUAGCCCCUUGGGAAGGCGUCGCAUCCGGGCCGGAAGGCCGCUCCCUCAGCCCGGAAACCAGCCUUGCGAUGAGACGUCGA
rnacentral:ncRNA from 2 species